GUCAGCCCAAGGCUGCCCCAUCGGUCACUCUGUUCCCGCCCUCCUCUGAGGAGCUUCAAGCCAACAAGGCCACACUGGUGUGCCUGAUCAGUGACUUCUACCCGGGAGCUGUGAAAGUGGCCUGGAAGGCAGAUGGCAGCCCCGUCAACACGGGAGUGGAGACCACCACACCCUCCAAACAGAGCAACAACAAGUACGCGGCCAGCAGCUAGCUACCUGAGCCUGACGCCUGAGCAGUGGAAGUCCCACAGAAGCUACAGUUGCCAGGUCACGCAUGAAGGGAGCACCGUGGAGAAGACAGUGGCCCCUGCAGAAUGCUCUUAG